GAGCGAUCGUUAGGGCAAUGACGCCACAAGUCACAAGGUUGUUGCAAUGGAAAGACGGACCGAAAAUGGCCGUUUUGGAAAUUUAUAUUUGUCACACACGCGUGCAAAUUGGCUCGGCUUCAAAUUGGCCGACGAAUAAUAUUCUCGCACAGGUAUAUCUCUUUUUUUUAGGCUAGAAAAUGCCACACAUAUUAUUAUAGAUAUUGUAUAACAGAUAAUAGACACAUACAUGAAAUAUAACGCAAAUUUUCAAAAUAAAACAAAAACCCCUUUAACAAACCACGAGCACGAGAACUGACAAUGAGAACGAUCGUUUUGAUGAUUAAUCGAUCGCGCACAUGGGCAAUUUACGGAAUCACUUGAUAGUUACGGCUUACAUCCGCUGCCGCGAAAUUGUAGAUACGGAACCACAGUCUCGAGCCUCUCGUUGCUAAACCCUCCUGGGAAAGGAUAAAGAAACACUUUGUCGCUUUGGCCAUACUACGCUUGCUGCUACCCUUACCUGCACUGCACCGUCACCGAAUAUCGAGAAAAAAGCGCGUUCCUUUGAUCCACGUGAAAGGAUGUAAGUCGCGAGAAGUCGAGAGGAGGUGACCUAGUGAUGUCAUGCAACUGCGGAAAAUUUGCAAGAGUGGGCACAUUGCCAGAUACGAUUGCACGAAAAGUGUGACCGUACGUUCGUCACGGUAUCCCGAAUCCGCGGCUGGCGGCGAUGUUUCAAAGAAAAAAAUCUGCGUUUCCUCGAUAACCUUCGAUAAUCGAAUAAUUUAUUUAACGUAUUUAAUUUGUUAUGGAACGAUUGGCGAUUGAUCGAUAUGACGAAUAAUAUCAAUGUGAUUGAUCGAUACGACGAUGAGGCCAUUGAGGCCUUAACGCGUAAUUAAAAUCUGCACGCCACGUCGGAUAAGGAGCCGCGGUAAGCGCGCGUAUAAUUCAUUGGGCGAAGCCGAGCACGCAUCCAGGAAAGCUGCUCCCUUUCCAGAGGAUAAUCGAAAACUCCGAAAAUACGCGUUCAUUGAACUUGCAUGGUGUAUCGCGUGUAUGUACUUAACGUUAUCACCAGGGGAACAAAUAUCGUAUCCAAAUGAGUUCCGAGUCAAUAUUAAUCGUGGUAAUAUAUCUCGAACAAUCGCUCCAAGAAAUUCAAUUUUACAAUCUUUAUCUUGUCUCUACUCUUUAGCGUUUUAGCAUAAUGAUUCGUCUUUACGAUGCGAAAUCAGCGAAUAUCUUGCACGGUUGCAGAAAUAUCGUAAUUCUCGUCGUAACUUUCGUCAUACAGACCGCAAAGACUCUCUCUCUCUCUCUCGAAACGGGACGCUGUACGAGUCACGUGCGCACAAGUCCGCGCACACCCACUGAAUCGACCAAUCGCAACGACCGACGCUUUCCUGUCGUCGCAUUUUCGCAAAGACGACUCGAGUUUCCGAGAAGGUAGACACGUGCUCUUAUCCUGUCCUGUCGGGAUGACGAAACAUUCGUCAUCUCGUGCCACACGAUUGUCGCGAGAGAGAACCCGCGCAAUCUACGGAUUUUUGAAAGAUGUCUCACGGGAAGAAUUUAAAGCGUGCGUUCUCAGCCGAGAACCCCUCUCGUCGUCAGUUCCGAUCGAUAUGCCUGCCCUGACAGACUUACGUCAUCGUACGUCAUAGACGCACGUCCGAAAAUGAGAACCCACCUGUUGAGAGUGCUGUGACGCGGUACGAAUACGUUGCAUAAUAUUUUGUCAAAAUUACACGCGGCACGAUACGUGAACGGACGAAUGGGAAUAGUCAGUCUCGCAUCACGCGGUUAACAGACUAUCGAGGAUCACCGCAUAUAUCGUGUUGUACGCGUCUGUUAAUUAGUCGGAAAACGCACUACGAGACAUAUCAGCUCGAACGUACAAGUGCUCGGAAUUAACUCGGGUCAAAUGCACCCGAAUGCACCACAUGUAGCAACGGACGAACGCAGCUCACGUGUUACGUCAAUCGCGGACAAGUCGACUUGCGUUCGCAAUAGCGUAAACGGUAACGGAAGAGAGAAAAAUAUCAAAGGAAACAAGAGAAGGAAAGAGAGAGUCACCGCGUUAUUUGUAAUCUUGUGACAUUUCGCACUUUUUAUCAGCUAAAGUUGCCAAAAAAGAAAGCAAAGAGAUGAAUUUUGUCUACGCCACUGGUUGCUACGCCAAUGGUUGCAACGAACGAAUAUUGAUCGAUAUUGAUCACGAUCACAAGGAUCGUAUGAACCGUGAUAUAAGAGGAUCAUCGUGCACAAGACACGAAAUGACAUGAUCGCAAUGGUGGCACUCUGCCGCGCGGUCCCCGACCGCGAGAGAGAGCAGGUUACUCGUGCAAUCAUUUUUUUCAGAAGUAAAAAUUACUCGAGAGCUCGUCGAGAGCUCGUUGUUCGUUUCGUUACUCGAAAGACAAAUUAAACGAAGGAAAUGCAGAAAGAAUUUUGAAGCUGCGCGAUGCAUGAAAUUCUUCUCGAGAGCUCGAUGUGAUAAUUAUCUCGAUGUUUGUUCGCGCUCCUGGGAAAAUUCCUGCGAGUGCAACGUCGUGCGCGAGCACGAUCCGCGUUUACACAUCCAUUAAAACAAUUGCCAAUGAAUGACGGGUGUUUUUCUCGACGAUGAGCGAAUACCACGGGAAAUCGCGUACCUGCUCUCGUCGUUACAGACGAGCUUUCUCUAUUUCGAUACUCGUUUAUCGAAAUCAAUUUAGCAUUCUUUUCGUUGCUUAAUAAAGAAUAUGUAUUAUG